AUUGAUUAUGACGUACUUGUACUGAUUGAGAUUUUAACACGAAGUGAGUGGCGAACGGGUGAGUAACACGUGGGUAACCUGCCCAGAAGUAGGGGAUAACACCUGGAAACAGAUGCUAAUACCGUAUAACAGAGAAAACCGCAUGGUUUUCUUUUAAAAGAUGGCUCUGCUAUCACUUCUGGAUGGACCCGCGGCGUAUUAGCUAGUUGGUGAGGUAAAGGCUCACCAAGGCAGUGAUACGUAGCCGACCUGAGAGGGUAAUCGGACCACAUUGGGACUGAGACACGGCCCAGACUCCUACGGGAGGCAGCAGUAGGGAAUCUUCCACAAUGGACGCAAGUCUGAUGGAGCAACGCCGCGUGAGUGAAGAAGGGUUUCGGCUCGUAAAGCUCUGUUGUUAAAGAAGAACGUGGGUAAGAGUAACUGUUUACCCAGUGACGGUAUUUAACCAGAAAGCCACGGCUAACUACGUGCCAGCAGCCGCGGUAAUACGUAGGUGGCAAGCGUUAUCCGGAUUUAUUGGGCGUAAAGCGAGCGCAGGCGGUCUUUUAAGUCUAAUGUGAAAGCCUUCGGCUCAACCGAAGAAGUGCAUUGGAAACUGGGAGACUUGAGUGCAGAAGAGGACAGUGGAACUCCAUGUG
rnacentral:rRNA from 1 species